CGGGCGGAGAAGUCGACUUGGAGGUUGUGCCCUUGAGGCGUGGCUUCCGGAGCUAACGCGUUAAGUCGACCGCCUGGGGAGUACGGCCGCAAGGUUAAAACUCAAAUGAAUUGACGGGGGCCCGCACAAGCGGUGGAGCAUGUGGUUUAAUUCGAUGCAACGCGAAGAACCUUACCUACUCUUGACAUCCAGAGAACUUUCCAGAGAUGGAUUGGUGCCUUCGGGAACUCUGAGACAGGUGCUGCAUGGCUGUCGUCAGCUCGUGUUGUGAAAUGUUGGGUUAAGUCCCGCAACGAGCGCAACCCUUAUCCUUUGUUGCCAGCGGUUAGGCCGGGAACUCAAAGGAGACUGCCAGUGAUAAACUGGAGGAAGGUGGGGAUGACGUCAAGUCAUCAUGGCCCUUACGAGUAGGGCUACACACGUGCUACAAUGGCGCAUACAAAGAGAAGCGACCUCGCGAGAGCAAGCGGACCUCAUAAAGUGCGUCGUAGUCCGGAUUGGAGUCUGCAACUCGACUCCAUGAAGUCGGAAUCGCUAGUAAUCGUGGAUCAGAAUGCCACGGGUGAAUACGGUUCCCGGGGCCUUGUACACACCGCCCCGUCACACCAUGGGGAGUGGGUUGCAAAAGAAGUAGGUAGCUUAACCCUUCGGGAGGGCGCUUACCACUUUGUGAUUCAUGACUGGGGUGAAGUCGUAACAAGGUAACCCGUAAACCAGAUUAUGAUCCCGGUAUUUCUCCGGCUCCCUCGAUCCCCUCCCAGAUCCUAUGCGCUAGGCUAUCCACGGUGCUACACGCGACGCCACGACGCAACACAGCUAAAGACGCCACGCUCCUGAGGGUAUUGCCUUCGACUUGCAUGAGGCUACGCACGCUCGCCAGCGUUCUCACACACAAGAGAAAAACGUA
rnacentral:rRNA from 1 species